rnacentral:rRNA from 1 species
UAAGCGGAGGAAAGGAAACUAACANGGAUUCCCCUAGUAACUGCGAGUGAAGAGGGAAGAGCUCAAAUUUAAAAUCUGGCUGUUCUUGAAGCAGUCCGAGUUGUAGUUUAGAGAAGUGUUUAUCCGCGCUGGCCUGUGCAAAAGUUUCUUGGAAAAAGAACAUCAUAGAGGGUGACAAUCCCGUCUUUGGCACAGAUUACCAGGGCCUUUGUGAUGCGCUCUCGACGAGUCGUGUUGUUUGGGAAUGCAGCACUAAAUGGGUGGUAAAUUCCAUCUAAAGCUAAAUAUUGGCGAGAGACCGAUAGCGAACAAGUACCGUGAGGGAAAGAUGAAAAGCACUUUGGAAAGAGAGUGAAACAGUACGUGAAAUUGUUGAAAGGGAAACGCUUGAAGUCAGUCGCGUCGACCGAGACUCAGCCUUGCCUCGGCUUGGUGUACUUCUCGGCUGACGGGUCAGCAUCGAUUUCGAUCCUCGGAUAAUGGCAAGGGAAAGGUAGCACCUUUUUAGGUGUGUUAUAGUCCUCUGUCGCAUGCGAGGGUCGGGAUCGAGGAACUCAGCACGCACCUCAGGGUGUCGGGGCCUUGGCCCACGUUUACGUGCUUAGGAUGCUGGCGUAAUGGCUUUAAACGACC